rnacentral:lncRNA from 1 species
CUCUACCUCCCUCUCCUAACCACCUCCCUCUACUCACCUCUACCCCUUACCUUUAUUCUUCUGAUUCUUCUUCUACCCCCUUCUUACUAUCCUUCCUCCAAUUUUCCUUUCGCAAUGUCGUGUGACAUCCCUCUCCUACUCUAUUUCCCCCUCAAUACCUCCUCCUCCUCAAUACCUCCUAUCACUUUUCUAUCUUCUUCCUCGUUCGUUCCUCCUCCGUACUGUUUGUCCCUCUCUGAUACCUGUAGAAGAAAACAGGGAUGAUGGAAGCUGAAGACUUCAAAACCUGCCUUAUCUCCCUCGGUUACAACAUGGGUGAAGCAGAGUUCUCUCGCAUCAUGAGCAUCGUGGAUCCCAACCGGGUGGGCGUGGUCACGUUCCAGGCCUUCAUAGACUUCAUGUCCCGGGAGACGGCCGACACAGACACCGCUGACCAGGUCAUGGCCUCCUUCAAGGUCCUGGCUGGGGACAAGAACUACAUCCUGGCCGAUGAGCUUCGUCGUGAGUUGCCUCCUGACCAGGCAGAGUACUGUAUCGCCCGCAUGGCUCCCUACGCCGGCCCCGACGCGAUACCCGGUGCCCUCGACUACAUGUCCUUCUCCACCGCACUCUACGGAGAGAGUGACCUCUGAGUGACCUUUGACCCCUAACAUGUGAGGUCGCUCACCAGCCUACCUGCUCUUACCACCGCCCCCGCAAGACCCUCCUACUGCCCCAACACCGCAGCUCUGCUCUAGCAUAGGUGCCAGAUCUGUUUGUGUUGUCUUACCCAACUCAUCGUUGUCACGCCAGUUUAGCAAAACACAGAUCCGGCAUCAGGCUAGCCCUGCUCUACAACGCUCAAAACAGCACAGACAAAUCUGGCAUCAGGCUAGCCCUGCUCUACAACGCUCAAAACAGCACAGACAAAUCUGGCAUCAGGCUAGCCCUGCUCUACAAUGCUCAAAACAGCACAGACAAAUCUGGCAUCAGGCUAGCCCUGCUCUACAACGCUCAAAACAGCACAGACAAAUCUGGCAUCAGGCUAGCCCUGCUCUACAACGCUCAAAACAGCACAGACAAAUCUGGCAUCAGGCUAGCCCUGCUCUACAACGCUCAAAACAGCACAGACAAAUCUGGCAUCAGGCUAGCCCUGCUCUACAACGCUCAAAACAGCACAGACAAAUCUGGCAUCAGGCUAGCCCUGCUCUAUAAUGCUAACAUGUUUUUUCUAUGUUCCUGGCCUUAUCUUAUAUGUCAUAAUGAUCUUGUCUGCCCCUCCCCCCCUUCCUUUUCCACUCAUUCCCCCCUCCGCCAACCCCUUUACUGGUGUAGGCUGAAGUUGCCCCUAGAUCUGUACCCAAGGGAAACUUCACCCCCGGACGGAGCAAGCCCCUUCCCUCCCUCAUACUUUGUCUCAGUUGGACUUGCUUCCCAUGCAGCAACACUCUCCAGGUUUACAAAAAGGGAGAGAAAUGUGUUUUCAUUUUUCUUGUUAUUGUUUUUCUUCAUAAAAUGA